rnacentral:rRNA from 1 species
GAUGAACGCUGGCGGCGUGCCUAAUACAUGCAAGUCGAGCGAACAGACGAGGAGCUUGCUCCUCUGACGUUAGCGGCGGACGGGUGAGUAACACGUGGAUAACCUACCUAUAAGACUGGGAUAACUUCGGGAAACCGGAGCUAAUACCGGAUAAUAUAUUGAACCGCAUGGUUCAAUAGUGAAAGACGGUUUUGCUGUCACUUAUAGAUGGAUCCGCGCCGCAUUAGCUAGUUGGUAAGGUAACGGCUUACCAAGGCAACGAUGCGUAGCCGACCUGAGAGGGUGAUCGGCCACACUGGAACUGAGACACGGUCCAGACUCCUACGGGAGGCAGCAGUAGGGAACCUUCCGCAAUGGGCGAAAGCCUGACGGAGCAACGCCGCGUGAGUGAUGAAGGUCUUCGGAUCGUAAAACUCUGUUAUUAGGGAAGAACAAAUGUGUAAGUAGCUAUGCACGUCUUGACGGUACCUAAACAGAAAGCCACGGCUAACUACGUG